GACGAACGCUGGCGGCGUGCCUAAUACAUGCAAGUCGAACGAUAACGACCGGUGCUUGCACUUGUCACUCUAGUGGCGAACGGGUUAGUAACACGUUGGUAACCUGCCCAUCAGAUUGGGAUAACAUCCGUAAACGGAUGCUAAAACCGCAUAGUUCUUCGAGCCGCAUGGCUUGAUCCGGAAAAGAGUCUCUCCUUUCUGCUGUUGUUUGGUCCCGCGGUGCAUUAGCUAGUUUGUGAGGUAACGGCUCCACAUGGCCGUGAUGCAUAGCCGACCUGAGAGGGUGAUCGGCCACACUGGGACUGAGACACGGGCCAAACUCCUACGGGAGGCAGCAGUAGGGAAUCUACCGCAAUGGGCGAAAGACUGACGGAGAAACGCCGCGUGAGUGAAGAAGGGUUUCGGAUCGUAAAACUCUGUUGUUAGAGAAGAACAAGUGCGAGAGUAACUGUGAGCGGCUUGACGGUAUCUAACCAGAAAGCCACGGCUAACUACGUG
rnacentral:rRNA from 1 species